CACGCGUUGAAUGGAUCUGGUGUCACCAGUGCUGGUGUUGUUUUUACUGGUGAACGUUGUUUGUGAGCAGUUAACGGGUGGGAGAUAUUCAUAUGUACCGUUGCAGAUUUUGAUAUUUGAUUCCAAUCAACUAAUAGAAUGAACCCAAACGAUCAUAUAGAUAUCACAAAAUGGUUUCUAACUUGUUCAGUUGCGGAGAAAUAGACGAUUUUCAACAGGGCACUAUCAUGAUGGUUUGGUCUCCUAGAUCAAGUUGGUAGAUAUGUGAGUAGAAGAAAAGAUGAUGAAAAUCCGGUGGCAUGUAUAACAUGCUUCGGAUAGAUUUGUUUUGAUUGAAGAUGCGUAGACGAUGGAGUUAGAACAAUUGUGGACACCUUACCUGGAGACAAGUUUGGUGAUGGUUGAAGAUGAUGGUGUAGAAGACAAUGCAGACACCUUAUUGACAGACUGUUUAGAUAAGUUAUGUUGUUCUUCUUUUGGAUAAAUCAUGAUUCAUACUUAGUGGCCUUGAUUCGAAUGUGCAAGAUUGCAAAUUCCUAUAAGAAGCUUACAAUAGCUGUUGUGCUGAUGGAUGUGAGCAGAUACUAGUAAAGUGAAUCACAAUUAAUAUGCUUUAACGUUAACUAAGGACUAUUAUGGCUUGAUUAAGUAACAAUACUUAAAGAUUUUACAAUAAUAGAAUAGUACAAAAUGUGUUUCAUAACAGGAAAUCUGAUUUAACCAAGGUACAUGUGUACAUAAAAUAACAGUGUGCAUAUUAUACAAGGGAGUCAUAGUUCAUUCAUAAAAUGUGUUUCAGAUAAGACAUGGUUUAAGCAUAGUAGCACUAGCUUAGAUUGGGGCUGAGAACAAAAGAAAAGGGACUAUUAAUGGACUCCUAAUGAAUACUUAGAGAUAAGAUUGGGAACUUGAUGAUGGAUCACAAUAUUAAUUAAACAUCUGUUGAUUCCGGUUCACUUUGGAUAUUUUGACUCAAGUUGAAGUGGAGUAGUUCCUCUGCCGAUGGCUUAUAUCCAGGAAUUUGGACUAUACUGUGUAUACGUUUUAUAGAACCAUCUGUUCCAUCAGGUUUUCUUUCGUGAAUAAAGAUUUUGCCAUCACGCGUCCAACAUCCAUUGAUUAAGUUUGAUUUGAAUGAUUUUCUAGUGUGUUUAAAGAUAUGAGCUCUGUACCGUGUUAAGUCCUCAUUUAUAUAGAUGUUGUCUUCUGCUGAGUUUACGACUUUCUUGCCACGCAUUAUGGAUACUUUAGUUUUAUAGCUAGAUAGUCUAACGAUAAUCUUUUUGGGGUUACCCAUGAUAGGUUUACCUACUCUGUGACUAUUUUCUAUGGCAGUCGGUGUUAUGGCUGGGAUGAUUUUUUUAAGGACUUCGAUUACUUUAUUUUCGACUAUUUCGUUGGGCGUUUCAGCUUUACCACUAAUACGGAUGCAGUUUCGCCUACCAUAUUGCUCUAGGUCAUCACAUCGUUCAUUUAACAUGCCAUUUAACUGCAGCGUAACAGACGAGAUUUCGUAUUUGAGGUCAUUUAUUUCCUUUCUUAAGGGAGUAAUAUAUUUAUCAAUCUCUUCUCUUAGAAUGGGUGUUAUCAAAGGUCGAAUGGCAUUCUGUACCUCUGGUUUCCCAAAUGCUCUAGAUAAUUCCUGGGUAACAGCAUUUAGAGUGUUGAUAAAUGCCUCAUCAGGGACAGGAGUGGAUGACAGAGGGAUAUAGUUUUCAGGCUUGUCAUUUAUUGGGGAUUCCGCGUCGCUCAUAGUGUUUUCUAAGUACUCGUAGCUGGAGUUGGGUUCAAUAUUUUCAGACAUGAAGGUGGUAAUUGUGCUCUGCUGGAGUUUACUUUUUUUUAAAUUACUACUUCUGACACCAGUAGCCAAGAAAAGGUCUGUUUGUAUUUGAAAUGGGGACGUUGAACCCUUUCUUUUCCUGUCUUCUUUAGCCCUGGCUGGAGUAUACAUUAAGUUUUGAGUGUAUAUUGGUAGUAAUGAUUUAAUAAUAAUAAUAAAUAAUAUGAUACCACUGAUAAGGAUGUUGAUUUUCUGUAGGGUCUGGCUGUUGAACGUUCGUGAGUCAAAGAAAUCACAAAGGUAACAAAGAUGGCUGCUCACAAAGCAAGUUUUCACAGUGGUUGGAGAUUUUAACUCAGAGGUCCUUUUAAUACAGCAUGAGUUAAUACUUUAUAUAUAGUGUUUACUCCAGGCACAUCAGGAUGUAUGGAUAUUAUCACAUACCUUAGUUAUUAUGUGUUAUUUAGUCGCUUUUCACUAAUUAUUGAAGCUCUCUAAGAGGAGUCUAACUACUGGCGGCCAUCUUGUUAAAAUUCUGAUGGAUAACACCUGUCAUUAUUUAUACAGGGGUUGGAUAUAUUACAGGGAUUUACUAAAGUUAAAUUUAAGAAAUGUGGAUCUCAGAUACGUUAAUAAUCAUUAUAUAAGACAGCGAGUGAUCAUAAUUCCAAUUGUUAAGUAUGGCAUAAUGAAAUAUGGAUAUUUCUUAACGAGGUAGACAUUGCCAGGGAUUUAAGUAAAAUAAUGAUUGCAACAAGUACUGGUGAGGAUAUAAGACCCAUUGAGAUUUAUAAAUACGCGCAUGAUAGAUUAACUCCUCUAAUUAAAUUUUCUGAAUCAUGAUCUUCUUGCGUUAAAAAAAGGGGUAGUCCAAGUUAGGUCCAGUAAAGUAACAGUGAAUGUGAAGCGGAACGCCGUGUCUUGUGUAAAAAUAUACUAGACUGUUGAAUACGGAGUUUAUCGUUUGUUUUAUACACAGAUACCUGAUCACAGGUGUUGUUUUGUACAUUAUGUUUUUGGGGAGUUCUUCCAACAAAUAAUAUGCAUCAGCUGUGUUUGGAAAUAAAAUCAGUAAGUUUUAUUUGGUCGUUAAUUUUAGAUCUAAAGGUUUUGGCAAUCAAUUUCUUGUGGACAUGUUGAUUUCAUUUCAUUCCCGGAAAUAAUAUUUUAUAUUUCGUUAUUAGUGUUUUCCUCCUUCAUCGUGAUUGGUUUCUGAAGAUAAACGUGGCUUAACGAUCGUCAUUGUCUUUGAGUCACGGUAUACCCAGGCCAUAUUGAAUGUAUGAACGUGUACACUACAAUAAUAGGAAACAAAUUCAGUUCAAUGCUAUAAGUAAUUUGGGUUGUUAGUGUUUCCUCCUUCAUCGUGAUUGGUUAUUCAAGAUAAACGUGGCUUAAGGACCGUUAUUGUCCAUGAUGCACGGUAUACCCUGGCUAUACAACAAUAG